rnacentral:rRNA from 1 species
UACGUAGGGGGCAAGCGUUGUCCGGAAUCAUUGGGCGUAAAGAGCGUGUAGGCGGUCCGGUAAGUCCGCUGUGAAAGUCGGGGGCUCAACCCUCGAAUGCCGGUGGAUACUGUCGGGCUAGAGUGCGGAAGAGGCGAGUGGAAUUCCUGGUUUAGCGGUGAAAUGCGCAGAUAUCAGGAGGAACACCUAUUGCGAAGGCAGCUCGCUGGGACGUUACUGACGCUGAGACGCGAAAGCGUGGGGAGCAAACAGG